rnacentral:pre_miRNA from 1 species
UGAAAGACAUGGGUAGUGAGACGUGUGCUCUGCGAUCGUGUCACUAUUCUGUUUUUCGCC